rnacentral:rRNA from 1 species
CCUACGGGAGGCAGCAGUGGGGAAUAUUGCACAAUGGGGGAAACCCUGAUGCAGCGACGCCGCGUGAGUGAAGAAGUAUUUCGGAAUGUAAAGCUCUAUCAGCAGGGAAGAAAAUGACGGUACCUGAUUAAGAAGCCCCGGCUAACUACGUGCCAGCAGCCGCGGUAAUACGUAGGGGGCAAGCGUUAUCCGGAUUUACUGGGUGGAAGGGGAGCGUAGACGGCAGCACAAGUCUGGAGUGAAAUGCCGGGGCUUAACCCCGGAGCUGAGUUGGAAACUGUGCAGCUAGAGUGCAGGAGAGGUAAGUGGAAUUCCUAGUGUAGCGGUGAAAUGCGUGGAUAAUAGGAGGAACACCAGUGGCGAAGGCGGCUUACUGGACUGUAACUGACGUUGAGGCUCGAAAGCGUGGGGAGCAAACAGGAUUAGAUACCCCUGUAGUC